UUUAAAUGAACCGUUCCUAUCGCUGUGAACGUGUGAAAACCGUUCCGAUUCCCUCUCCUUUUCUGAAAACUUGCACAAACGGUUUCACAAACUGAUCGUCGAAAAAUUCUCAUUCUUCGACUUUAUAUUCUGCCAUCUUCUUUUCUUUUCACAACCAUUCAAAAGCUCUCAAAAAUUCUCUUUGUUUAAGUUCUUCAAGUAUUCAAGUUUUAGUUGUUGCCAGGAAAUCAAGAAAUCUGGUAAGAUUAAAUUCUAACUUUAUUUAAUUUGUGAGUUUUCUCGGAUUUAGUACGAUUUUAAGUUUAUUUAUUAUUUCGAAUUAUAGUUUUUGAUUUAGCGUAUUUAUAUAUAUUAAAUCGUUGAGUACAGAUUUUAAGUUUAAGUUCGAAUUUCGUGAAUGAUUGAUCUGUUUCUGUUUCAAAAUUUCGGCUGUCAAAAGAAUUUGAUUAUGUCGAAAUUUUGAGUUCGGAUAUUUUGUUUUGGGAAUAACCAUAUUGGUUUAAAUUGUUUGAAAAGUUUUAUAUAUGCACUAAAGUUGUCGUUAGUUGAUGUAAUUGCUUUUAUAAAACAAAAGUCAAAACAGUACAUGAAAUUCUUGCUUUUAAGGUUAUUUUCUUUAUUCUCUAUGAUUGUUGAGAUUAUUUUUUUAAGGUUUUGAAAGAUUGAUUAAAGGUGAUCGUACUGGAUGAUCUAAAAAGAAAAUUAUUCCUUGUGUUUCUAUAUUUUUAUGUUUUUAGUUUAUUUUAUUUUAGUCUUAAUUUUAUUUAUCCCUAUUUCAAGUUGCUAAUAGUUUUUAUUUGAAUUUGAUAAGUUACAAGUUUUAUUUAUUUAUUUUUUUUACUUAACGAAAUGAAUGAAAGUAACAAAAGUUGUGUUGCUUAAGAAUUUUAUUAAGAUUAGAAAUUGCUUUUUUUUAAAAAUUCUUUCAGUUUCGUGACUUAAUCAAAUAUAGUAAUAGUUCAGUAGGUUGGUUUCAAAAACUAAUAGAUUAUAUCUAUUAUGUUGGUUUAAAUAUUAGGUAGUUUAUUAUUGCAAAAUUUUUGUAUAAUGUUUGCAAGGGUUUACAGAUUUUAGUUUUAGUUAAGCCUAUAUUGAAGUAAUUAUAUUUAUGUGAUUAGGUGCGGCGCAAUUAGGAUCUCUAUCCCCGAGUUAAGCAUUAGUCAAGUUUAUUACCAAGGAUUUGAGGUGGGUAAAAGUAAAGAAAAUUUCUUUAUUUCAAGUUUAAAUUCCGCAAGAAAAUGUUUUAAGUUAAUUAUUGAGAAAGUUAUUUUAUGUCCAACGUGUUUACAUAUGCUAUGAUUUAUGAAUGAGAUUAUGAUGUGAGCAUAUAGCAAUAUGCCAAGUUUAUGUUCCUGUGCACAGUUGAAGUGAUAUGUCCCAUGUGUUCAUACUUCCUUAAGCGUUGUAUUGAAAUGUGGUUGAAGUUAUGUCCCAUAUUUCCUCUCUUGUUAUUUGAGCAAGUUGUUGGUUUAUGGUUGAAGUUAUGAUUUUAUAUUUCAUAUGCUAUGUUUCACGUUUGGACAAAGUAAAAGUUAGUUAUGAUUUCCCCCUCACUGAGUAUAUUUAAAAUACUCACCCCACUUUGUUUAAAACCUUUUCAGGUGAGGAGCAAGGAGAUGCGUG
rnacentral:lncRNA from 1 species